rfam:Felis catus isolate Cinnamon breed Abyssinian chromosome A2, whole genome shotgun sequence.
GCCUGGGUGGCUCAGUCGGUUGAGCGUCCGACUUCGGCCCAGGUCAUGAUCUCGCGGUCCGUGGGUUCGAGCCCCGCAUCGGGCU